rnacentral:rRNA from 1 species
AGUGAACGCUGGCGGUAGGCCUAACACAUGCAAGUCGAACGGCAGCACAGUAAGAGCUUGCUCUUACGGGUGGCGAGUGGCGGACGGGUGAGGAAUACAUCGGAAUCUACUUUUUCGUGGGGGAUAACGUAGGGAAACUUACGCUAAUACCGCAUACGACCUACGGGUGAAAGCAGGGGAUCUUCGGACCUUGCGCGAUUGAAUGAGCCGAUGUCGGAUUAGCUAGUUGGCGGGGUAAAGGCCCACCAAGGCGACGAUCCGUAGCUGGUCUGAGAGGAUGAUCAGCCACACUGGAACUGAGACACGGUCCAGACUCCUACGGGAGGCAGCAGUGGGGAAUAUUGGACAAUGGGCGCAAGCCUGAUCCAGCCAUACCGCGUGGGUGAAGAAGACCUUCGGGUUGUAAAGCCCUUUUGUUGGGAAAGAAAAGCAGUAGGUUAAUACCCCGCUGUUCUGACGGUACCCAAAGAAUAAGCACCGGCUAACUUCGUG